rnacentral:rRNA from 1 species
AUUGAACGCUGGCGGCAUGCCUCACACAUGCAAGUCGAACGGUAACGCGGGGCAACCUGGCGACGAGUGGCGAACGGGUGAGUAAUGUAUCGGAACGUGCCCAGUUGUGGGGGAUAACUGCUCGAAAGAGCAGCUAAUACCGCAUACGACCUGAGGGUGAAAGCGGGGGAUCGCAAGACCUCGCGCAAUUGGAGCGGCCGAUAUCAGAUUAGGUAGUUGGUGAGGUAAAGGCUCACCAAGCCGACGAUCUGUAGCUGGUCUGAGAGGACGACCAGCCACACUGGGACUGGGACACGGCCCAGACUCCUACGGGAGGCAGCAGUGGGGAAUUUUGGACAAUGGACGCAAGUCUGAUCCAGCCAUGCCGCGUGCGGGAAGAAGGCCUUCGGGUUGUAAACCGCUUUUGUCAGGGAAGAAACGCUCUGGGUUAAUACCUCGGGGUAAUGACGGUACCUGAAGAAUAAGCACCGGCUAACUACGUGCCAGCAGCCGCCGUAACAC